rnacentral:snRNA from 1 species
AUACUUACCUGGACGGGGUUUAUGGCCGAUCAAGAAGGCUCAUGACCUAGGCUAGUGGUCAACAUUGCACUUGGUUGAUGCGCCGGCUUAUUAUCUCCCCAAGUGGGAGAAUGAAUGUCAUAAUUUGUGAUAGAGGGGGUACGCGAUCGUGCGGCCCCUGU